rnacentral:rRNA from 1 species
UACGUAGGGUGCGAGCGUUGUCCGGAAUUACUGGGCGUAAAGAGCUCGUAGGUGGUUUGUCGCGUUGUUCGUGAAAACUCACAGCUUAACUGUGGGCGUGCGGGCGAUACGGGCAGACUGGAGUACUGCAGGGGAGACUGGAAUUCCUGGUGUAGCGGUGGAAUGCGCAGAUAUCAGGAGGAACACCGGUGGCGAAGGCGGGUCUCUGGGCAGUAACUGACGCUGAGGCACGAAAGCCAGGGGAGCAAACGGG